rnacentral:lncRNA from 1 species
UUUGGGCAAGCAUGGUACGGACGUCCGUACAAGGCCGUACACGGCCGUACCGUCCGUACCAAAUGUCUCGACCAAAAGUUACCUAACCUCGACCAAGUGAAACGGUAACAAGGAAAUGUUACCUUGAGGGCUUAGUGGAGAGGAUCAGACCGUUGAGAGGAUAAGGGGCGCGCUGUGCCAGGCUGGAACAGACUGGAAAGCUAAAGCACCUUUAGUCCAAGAUGCCAUAAGCGUGUGGUGCAUCCUAGUGGUUGAUUUGAAUCCAUUGCCUUGACUUCACAUGCUUUCUCCUUUCCUUUACAUUUCGA